GGAUCUCCGAAGCAAGCAGUCAAAGCGGCCACUGCCUUGCCUGCUGGAAAUUCUCGAAAAUUUUUCUCCCGCAGUUGACCAGAUGGAGAGGGAGAAGUCUGUUCCCGCUGACUGACAGCAGAUCCGGCCAGUCCGCACUCGGCGAGACGGCUGGCCGGCCGCCCGGGCCCUCGAUCGCAGCCAGUCACAGAUGCCGAUGGGAACGAGCCUCCCCGCGGCUGCUAUUUGACUUCGCAGGCUUCCAGCUGCGCGGCGGAGCGACGUCACCCUGUGCCAGUGGUGGCUCGCGGCGGCGCCCCGCCCUCCCGAGCCACUCGAUGUCUUUUGAUUGGAGAGUUUAAUCAAACAGAAGGAGUCUUCCAUUGUGGCCACCACAGCUGGGAAUGAGCUAAGGUCUUGCUAUGUUGCCUAGACUGGUUUUGAACUCCUGGGCUGAAGCAAUCCUCCCACUUCGGCCUCUCAAAGUGCUGGGAUAUCAGACAUGAGCCACCUGCCAUGCUUGGCCUAUAAUCAUGAAAAGAUCAACCCCAAGAAAGAAAAGGAAACAUGGAAGGACCUGGACUGGAGUCACGCCAGUACAAGGAGGAUACUGGCAAAGAUGAGGCUAGUCAAGUGGAGCAGUGGGAGUGAAGAUGGAAUAAAGAAAUCCAUAACUGGUUGUGAUUAAGUAGUUGUAAACACCAACUGCACUCAGACCAACCCAUAUAUAUAUUUUUAAUUGUAAGCAUAGUAUAUAUAAAACUUCAAUUCCUGCUUUUUUUUACCUAACAUUAUAUCAUAUGCAUUUUCCAUACUGUUUCACAAUUCCUUGUAUUCGUAAUUGUUUAAUCCUGCAAAAUAAUGCUUCGAAUGAACAUAUGAUCAUUUCCUUAAGUAUUCCCCUACUAUUAGAAGUGAAGUUUCUUCCAGCAUUUUUCUCUUUGCUGUGAUGAAUAUUUUUAAGUAUAGAGAUUUUUCAGUUUGGUUAUGAGUUUUUGAAAAUCUACUUUACCAAAAACAAAGAAAACCCAUGUCUUUCUUUAGUACCUUUGCCAAGAUAUUACUUUUACUUGACAUUCAACAAGUAUAGGAUGAAAGUACACAAGUCUGCAAGGGACCUUGGAAGUAACUUGUUUCUGUCUAAUUUCUAUAAAAUUUCCAGGAGAUAGUCAUACAGCUUUAAUUUGAUCGCAUCCACUAGUUUUGGCAUUGGUAUUGCCAUAUUGAUUAUGGACACAUAAAACUGUAACUCCUGGAGCCAACCUCUCAGGCUUUCCUACAUGAAACCAAUGCCACCAUCCCACCCGCACUCUAGCACCUUCUAUCCACUGAUUUUAGUCAUUGACUUGCUCUCUUCCUCUUUCUGUUUGUUGUCUUCCAGUUUGUCUCUUUCAUUCCUCCCCUCCCUUCUCUAUCCUGCUCUCUGACCCAAGAGGCUGACCUGUAUGAACCACAUCAGUGAUUGGCUGGUGGGGCCCCCCAGCAAAGAGGAUGGAGUGAAGUGAGGGUAUUUACUUGCUUAAUUGCCUCCAGGCUGGGUCACUCACAGCUGGCCAUGUCCUUCCAUCAAAGAUCAGAGCUCUCCUCAAGGUAGCCCUCUCCACAAACUUUCUUGAGUUUCUCUUUCUGGGUUUUGUUAACCAUUUUCUCAACUUGUCCCUUCAUGCCUAGAGGUAAUAGCAGGUGGGGAAUGCUGUGCUAUUCCAUUUGGUUUUCCUGCACCCUUCCCAUGUUUGUAUGUAGUCCCUUUCAUCAAAGUACUGGGACUGUCCUAAUUCGAAUGUGCCAUCUUUUUUGUUUCCUGCUAAGAACUGUUCAACUCACUCU
ensembl:lncRNA PPM1K-DT PPM1K divergent transcript